rnacentral:lncRNA from 1 species
GUAAGUACUACUUUGAUAAAUUCUAGAGUGUGCAGAUUGUGGGGUGGGCUGCCUUUGAUGCAGUCUUUUGGAGGGGCUGUUUCUUCUGUGUCUGUAAAAACCAGGUGCCAGGGAAGGAUGGGGGCGGAGGGAGCUGGUUGUUGCUGGGACUCCAGGCAUUUACAGCAGGUCCCGAAUGUAAAGUAUAUGAAAAUCUGUUUCUUCUCUCCUCUUCACUCCAAACCAUCCCUGAGACCCACUGGUGUGUAUAUUUGGAUCUUGAGAAAGAAGGAGGGAGGGAGAGAAGGAGGGAGCCACUAGAGUACAGAAAUGUCUUGGUACAGCCUUGCUAUAGAUAUUUGAAGGAGGAAAUGGAGAAAGUGCCUGUUGUUAAGAACCCAGUUUUACCCGGGAUUGGCAUUGAUCAUAAUUUUUAAAAAAUUGUUUUAAAAAUCAAAGAUACUUGAAUACCAGUGGAAAGGGUGUGCUUCAGCCUUAUCUUGCAUGUUUUCUUGUUUGAGUUAAUUCAGAAGCUAUGCAAAAGUUUGGUGUAACUUGUGGCAUUUUCUUUGCAUAUAAUGAGAGUUUUACUUAAAGUUCUCAUAGCCAUUUUUGCUGUUUUUCUACAGUAAGAAUAAUCAAAUGAGAACUGUAAACACUUUUGAGGCCAGUUUAACUUGAUAAGACAAUUCUCUUGAACCAGACCUCAAUCCCCACCCUCUCUCGUGCUUAGUGGUGGGAGAAUCAGACCUUAUAGGAGGAAUAUGAAUUCUUAUGCAUGGUCACACUUUUAGGGCCUCUUUUGCUUUAAUAAUAAAAUAAUUUAGAAGCAGAAAGAGGUUGAUACAUUAAACCACAACUUCACGCAACAGAAAUAUUGAGUAUAAAAGUAUCCCUGAGCUUAUUUGAAAAAUAUAGAGAGUUGUUUUAAAUUUCACUCAGUGAUCACCUAAAAUGUCAGUUCUCUGCCUAAUUCAACACAGAACUGUUGGACAAAAAAGUGAAGGCUGAAAAUAGAAUGUGAAAAUGAUAAUUAUAAUUAUAGUAAUGCCAACUAUAUAAUAUGAAAGGAUAAGUAUAUAAUAUUAGUUUCCACAUGAGAAUGAUAAUGACAUCUAGUUUCCCUAGAUAUCUCUUGUUUCAACAUCUUAUAAGCUCUUAUUCUCUGCCAGCUACCCUGGUAGGUGCUAGGGUUAUAAAGAUAAAUAAGCCAUGGACCUUGUAUUCAAGAGAUAUGCAGUCCCUGUUGGGAGACCACUGAUAAAGAGCUAAGAACAAGAGGAAGGAUUGGAUCUAGUGCAGAAGAGAUUCAGUAGAGACACUGGCAAGGUAGCCUUCUUGGGAGAGAUGAGCCAGAGCAUUACAUUGAUGGGGAGCAGGAAGGCUUGCUAGCUGAGCAAACAGACUAUGGAGUCAGGGGAGUUCAGAUCCUGGUUCUGCCACUUUCUAGCUAUGUGGCCUUGGACUUUAAUCUGAUCCUCUAGACCUUGGUUUCCUUAAAUUCAAAAAGAGUAAUAAUGUUAAGUUCAUAGGUGGUUCUGCAAAUUGGGAAAGAUGAAGCACUCAGAAUACUUACACACACAGGCAGCCCAAGCUAUAUCUCCAUGACCAAAUCCUCUGGAAGCAGAGAUCCUUAGGUCAGCUGUUGUCAGUCAACAAAGAGCUGUACAGACUUAGCCACCUUCUUCCCACUCUUGAAGGCCUGUCUCCAGUCCCUCCCUCUGCUAUCAGCCAUUUAUGUUCUCUUUCAGGAGGUUUGUGUUCUCUGAGAUAUCUCCCAGGCCUACCGGCCAGAGCUGCACUUUGUUUUUGUUUUUUGUUUUUUUCCAGCAAAACAAAAUCAAAUUUAAUGGUCUUAAAUGCAAAAGUAAAAACAAACAAAAAACACAAAAAAGCAAAAGAAAAUUAACAGAACAACCCAAAAUGUCCAGGCAGUUAUGAAGAGAACUUUUGAGGGUUAAUCUUUAAAACUACAAAUCAAAGGUUUUUUGUUAAUAGAUAACUGGCAAGAAGUAAGUACUUUUCUGCUGAGUGUCCAUACGAAAGCAAUAUUCCAAAACAAAAUCCGACUAAGAGAGAAAAUAGGCUAGCGCUCACAAGGAGGGAUGCGAGAAAUACAAUGCUCAAAUGUUUAUGUGAUAUUAAAAAAUAGAGCUAUCUUAUGCAUUCAAGCUACGAUAAAUGCUCUUGGAAACGGGAAAUCAUUGUGAACAACAGGAUCCAAUGUGUG